GGGUCGCAAGACCCCGGCGUACCGCUCAGUAACACGCGGAUAAUCUACCCCCAGGUGAGGUAUAACCUCGGGAAACUGAGGAUAAUCCCUCAUAGUUAUCAUAUGCUGGAAUGCUUUGAUGACGAAAGCCUUUACGCCUGAGGAUGAGUCUGCGGCCUAUCAGGUCGUAUGUGAUGUAAAGGACCACAUAGCCUAGGACGGGUACGGGCCCUGAAAGGGGGAGCCCGGAGAUGGACUCUGAGACACAAGUCCAGGCCCUACGGGGCGCAGCAGGCGCGAAAACUGUGCAAUGCGCGAAAGCGCGACACGGGAAACCUGAGUGCCUUGACAAUGUCAAGGCUUUUCUUAAGCCUAAAAAGCUUAAGGAAUAAGAGCUGGGCAAGACGGGUGCCAGCCGCCGCGGUAACACCCGCAGCUCGAGUGGUGGUCACUUUUAUUGAGCCUAAAGCGUUUGUAGCCGGUUUUGCAAAUCUUCAGAUAAAUUCCUCUGCUUAACAGAUGAUCUUCUGAAGAGACUGCGAGACUUGGGACCGGGUGAGGUUGAAGGUACUUCCGGGGUAGGGGUAAAAUCCUGUAAUCCUGGAA
rnacentral:rRNA from 1 species